rnacentral:rRNA from 1 species
UGGGGAAUAUUGCGCAAUGGGGGAAACCCUGACGCAGCGACGCCGUGUGAGGGAAGAAGGCUUUCGGGUCGUAAACCUCUGUCAGGAAGGAAGAACCUCUCAAGGCUGAACAAGCCUUGGGACUGACGGUACUUCCAGAGGAAGCACCGGCUAACUCCGUGCCAGCAGCCGCGGUAAUACGGAGGGUGCAAGCGUUAAUCGGAAUCACUGGGCGUAAAGCGCGCGUAGGCCGUCUUUUAAGUCGGACGUGAAAGCCCUCGGCUCAGCCGGGGAACUGCGUUCGAUACUGGGAGACUUGAGUCCUGGAGAGGUUGGCGGAAUUCCGGGUGUAGGAGUGAAAUCCGUAGAUAUCCGGAGGAACACCAGUGGCGAAGGCGGCCACCUGGACAGGUACUGACGCUGAGGCGCGAAAGCGUGGGGAGCAAAC